rnacentral:rRNA from 1 species
CAGUCACACUGGAACUGAGACACGGUCCAGACUCCUAGGGGAGGAGCAGUGGGGAAAAUUGGACAAUGGGCGAAAGUCUGAUCCAGCCAUGCGGGGUGUGGGAAGAAGGUCUUCGGAUUGUAAAGCACUUUAAGUUGGGAGGAGGGGCAGUAAGUAAAUACCUUGCUGUUUUGACGUUACCAACAGAAUAAGCACCGGCUAAUUUCGGGCCAGCAGCCGCGGUAAUACAAAGGGGUGCA